CUCCAGACUCCUACGGGAGGCAGCAGUGGGGAAUAUUGCACAAUGGGGGAAACCCUGAUGCAGCGACGCCGCGUGAGUGAAGAAGUAUUUCGGUACGUAAAGCCCUAUCAGCAGGAAAGAAAAUGACGGUACCUGACUAAGAAGCCCCGGCUAACUACGUGCCAGCAGCCGCGGUAAUACGUAGGGGGCAGGCGUUAUCCGGAUUUACUGGGUGUAAAGGGAGCGUAGACGGCAGUGCAAGUCCGGAGUGAAAGCCCGGGGCUCAACCCUGGGACUGCUCUGGAAACUGUAAAGCUGGAGUGCGGGAGGGGCAGGCGGAAUUCCUGGUGUAGCGGUGAAAUGCGUAGAUAUCAGGAGGAACACCGGCGGCGAAGGCGGCCUGCUGGACCGUAACUGACGUUGAGGCUCGAAAGCGUGGGGAGCAAACAGGAUUAGAUACCCCUGUA
rnacentral:rRNA from 1 species